rnacentral:lncRNA from 1 species
UGCUUCCAAAACCGAUCGUUUCGAUUCUUCUGAUGAUUGCUAUAAAUGAAUAAGCUCUCUUAUUUUAUGAUCAAUUAAGGAAUUCAGGAGAGAGACAUGGGAAACGGAAAGUAAAGUUUUGUAGAACAGGGCAGCAAUCGAAUUAAUAAAUGAAAAGAGUUGAUGGAGAUAAUGUAGCUAGGGGAAGUAAGGAAGGAUAUAUGUGACAAAAAAGUCAUCACUCAAUCAAUAAACCUGGAGCAGGAAAGAAG